rnacentral:rRNA from 1 species
GACGAACGCUGGCGGCGUGCUUAACACAUGCAAGUCGAACGGACAGGCCCUGCUCUUGCGUGGCGCUCGAUUGGCGAACGGGUGAGUAACACGUGAGUAUCCCGCCCCUGUCUUUGUGAUAACUUCAGGAAACUGCGGCUCAUACCGGAUAUGAUCUCCUGCUGCAUGUUGGUGGUUGGAAAGUUUCGGCGGUUGGGGAUGGACUCGCGGCUUAUCAGCUUGUUGGUGGGGUAGUUGCUUACCAAGGGUUUGACGGGUAGCCUACCUGAGAGGGUUACCGGCCACAAGGGGACUGAGAUACGGCCCAGAAUGCUACGGGAGGCAGCGGGGGGGAAUAUUGCAGAAUGGGGGGAAGCGUGAUGCAGCAGCGCCGGGUGCGGGAUGACGGGCUUCGGGUUGUAAACCGCUUUCGCCUGUGACGAGGCGAGAGUGACGGUAAUGAGUAAAGAAGCACCGGCUAACUACGUG